UAGCAAUUAGAUUUCAUCAUUAUCUUUGUUUACUAAGGCAGUGAGGGUUUAAUUGAUUUACUGCUGAAAUCCUUGUUUUGCUCUCUUUGCUGCAUUCCUGGCUGUGCUGCGGGCAUUUUGCUGUGCUUUGGUGACAGCCGUUUUCAGUAGAACAGUAGGCACUAAAUUCUUACACGUUUCUUCUUAUCCGGAGAAGGCGCCUAGGCGCUGUCCGUAGUGCUGAAAUGGUGCGUGGUGAGACCUGUCUCCCCAACACAAGCUAGAAGACAACAAAAUAGCAGCCAGGAAACGCUCUGAUAAAGCUCUAGAUAGCUGCCAGGUGAUGCCAGAGAUUACUAGUUUUGGGACCAAUUAAAGUAGCAAGAUGCAGCCAGGAGUGGUGGCUUAUGCCUGUAAUCCCAGCACUUUGGGAGGCCGAGGCCGAGCUCAAGGGAGCAGAACUAAGUUACAUGAUUCUGCUGCGGAUGUAUAAGCACCACUCCAAUAAUUUAUUAUCACGGUUGGAGACUUUGACUUGUCACUUUAUGACUUGAAAUAUGGCUCCAUGGUAAAUGCCCAUAAAGCUGAUUUUUAAAAUCUGGAUAUUACAGUUCUAAUUCUCACUUAGUUUAAAAGGUAGAAUAGGCUUCUUGUUUCAUAGAUCAUUUGUGUGAAUGUUGAUUUGUUAUGUCAUUGACAUCAUACACACAUGCUUACAUUUUGAAGGUUGCUAGCGUUUCCCAUUAAUGCUUCUGAAUUGAUGCCAAAGGAAAGCAUUGAUUAUAAAUUAGGUUCCUUGGUAUUAGUUGGUGCAUGACCCUGACCCUUUUCAAGCUAUAUGAAAGGUAAUGAUGCUCUCAAAAGCCUGCAAAAUGGCUUAUUCAGGAAAGCAUAAUGGAUUAAAAAUCCAUUAGGUUCCACUUUCUUUGCUAGAUGCUGAGAUACAAAGAUAAAUGAGAUUUGGUCUCUGCCCUCGAGGAGAUACGUGGCAAAAUAAUAUGGUAAGUUCUACAAAGUUCUAUACAAACACAGAUUAAUAUGCUAUUCAUGUUUUAUUAGCCAUUGCCAAAGAAGGGAUGAAGAACUGCAAAAAGAUAAAACACAGAAUACUUGUACUUCAGGUCCUUGCCAAUAUCUACUGCCCAACUUUUACAAAAAAAAUUGCUGAAAGGCAUGAAAUAUAUGAAUGCCUUUCUAAAGCACAUGUGGAUAAUCUAUACUUCUGGAGCAUCUAUGAUUUAUUUUCAGAACAAUCCAAGUUAUUAGAAAGGUAAAUAUGUUGGUGACAUUGUUUAGAAGUUCCUCAAGCAGAAUUGCCUUUACUAUGCUUUGACAUUAUGCUCUCAGCUUAUAUACAGUAAUUCUAUGUGAAACAGUAGCCAGCUUACACAACCUGCUCUAUAUCUACUACAGAGCUGUUACUAAAGUGUUGGUCAACAUAUAACUUACUAUUUCUUAUAUAAAGAUGCCCAAGAAAUUUAGAUUUCAUAGAUAUAUCCCCAAAAGCAUUUCUUUCAAUACCAGUUUAAUGAAUUGAACUUUCAUACCUCACUUAAAUCAACCCAGGGUAAAGUGGUAUGUUCUGUUCUUACACACAAUGAAAAUCAUGUAACUAAUUAAAGUUAGCAUUUAUUUUAGCUACUAGGGAUGCCAGAGUCAAAUUAACAGCUGAAAAUGAAUAACUACAUAAGACCUUAAGCCUUUUAUAUCUUUUCUUUUUUUUUAAUCACCUUAACUACUGCAAUUUUGGUUUCUUAGGUAAUGAUAAUAUUAUUUUCUUUUAAUUAUUUGUUUUAA
ensembl:lncRNA CTXN2-AS1 CTXN2 antisense RNA 1